rnacentral:misc_RNA from 1 species
UGGUCCAACAGUUGGAGGGCUUCUAAAUGCAACAUGUGGAAAUGCCACUGAACUUAUAAUAGCAAUAUUUGCUUUAAUCGAACAUAAAGUGGAUGUUGUAAAAUAUUCACUCUUGGGAUCUAUUCUUUCGAAUCUUCUUUUGGUUCUUGGCACUUCACUCUUUUGUGGUGGUAUUGCAAAUAUAUCAAAGGAACAAAAAUAUGAUAGGAAACAAGCAGAUGUGAA